UUUCUAGUUUCAUGCCAAUGACUACGUUCAUAAGCUAAAUGUACAAGUUCCCUCAAAAUAUUACCCACGACUUGAAACAUCCUAUACUUGUAGCUUGUUGUAGAUUUGCAAAUUUGGAAGAGUCAAUCCUGAAUUCAUCACAAUGCCUAACAGUGCUUGGCCAGCUCAACCCAUGAAGGUCUUGGGACCUCAGAUAAGACAUUGGGGACCUUUUUUGGUACCUUGCGUGUUGAUUACAGGUGUUGUCAUGGCAAAAGCUUCAUUAGCAGGACUGAGAGCAAAGAAAGCAGAAGCAGCAGCGGGAGGUAAAUCAGGUCAUUAGUCUUAGUCAAUGAUUGGUCAGGGAAACAACUCUUCUCAUUUCUAAAUAUACAAAAAAAUGACCCAGCCUUCAUUUCCAACACACCAGCUGGGAAGUUCCGCGUCGGCAACAAGAAAGAAAGAGGGCAUCGCAUCACCUAUUCACAAAGAAGUCACUAUCAGCUACAGUUAUUCAGAAGUUCGUGGAAACUGCUACUACAACAACUAUUCUCCUUUGAUAUGGAACUGUUUUCCUGACCCGUCAGUUUUCAUGAAAUAAAGCUGUUUUUGUAAUUAGAAGAUGUAUUGUAAUAAUAACAGUUCUUCAUUGCUGUGGAAGUUAUAUGUGCAAAUGUUGCAUUAAAUUUAUAAAUCACAAA